rnacentral:rRNA from 1 species
CCUACGGGAGGCAGCAGUGAGGAAUAUUGGUCAAUGGACGAGAGUCUGAACCAGCCAAGUAGCGUGAAGGAUGACUGCCCUAUGGGUUGUAAACUUCUUUUAUAUGGGAAUAAAACAGGGUAUGCAUACCAUCUUGUAUGUACCAUAUGAAUAAGGAUCGGCUAACUCCGUGCCAGCAGCCGCGGUAAUACGGAGGAUCCGAGCGUUAUCCGGAUUUUUUGGGUUUAAAGGGAGCGUAGGUGGAUUGUUAAGUCAGUUGUGAAAGUUUGCGGCUCAACCGUAAAAUUGCAGUUGAAACUGGCAGUCUUGAGUACAGUAGAGGUGAGCGGAAUUCGUGGUGUAGCGGUGAAAUGCUUAGAUAUCACGAAGAACUCCGAUUGCGAAGGCAGCUCACUGGACUGCAACUGACACUGAUGCUCGAAAGUGUGGGUAUCAAACAGGAUUAGAUACCCGAGUAGUC